AGGAAACAACACCUGACUCUCAGGAGAUGAAGACGCCGGUCGGUGCCGCCGCAUGGAAACAGGCUGAGUCACACCUGACGCCCUGGAGGAGCCCAGACGAAGACAGCGAUCAGCACAUCACAUGGGAAACGUGCCAUUUGUUUCACGGUCAUCUCUGAAGAGGAGUUGACACAGUUUGACAGCCAAAAACCACUCUACAAGUGUGAAGGAAGCGCCACGGGCCUGCAACACCUCGGCCCCCUCACCUAUCUACCGUCAUCUCUCUUCUUUGAACAAUGGGACAUCAAAACUGUUGGGGAAAUGGCCAGACAAAAACAAAGCGUUUCUCACUGGAAUCCUGGAAUAACAAUUGCGUGUCACCAAUUCACCUCUGCACGAUCUGUGGGAGGAAACCGGAGUGCCAACAGAACUGCCAGGGAAGUCCAUACAAGGUUCACGUCAAGGAUAGGUUGAGUUGCCCCAACCUUUCUGUUAUGCUGCUGCACCAAACCACAGGUCCAUCUUUAUUUUUCCUUUCUUUAAUCCUCAAUAUAUUUUUUCAUAGUUAUUUAUUUAUUGUAAUUUAUUGUAGAAAGUUUGUCUCCACUCAUCGUAUUAUAUGUUCGAGUUUCUAUUCUUUCUAAAUAUAUUUGUUUGUGACGCAACUUUAAUGUCUGGACUUCCUCUGGUGCCACAUCGAGAGUGUGGCUGUAAGUAGAUUUUCAACAAUGUUCAGGAUAUUGCCGACGCACAGUCUUCGUGCUCACAUCGCCCCUUCCACUCCCCCUUUCCUCCCAGACUGAAAUAGCUAGCCACCGCGCUGAUUCGCAACACGCCCAUGUCCGAUGAAACGUUCAUGUCCUCGUAUUCCUCAGUGUUUCGCAGAAUCAACCCUCUCUCAUAGAACCACGGCUCCAACCCCAGCUGAUUCUGCUUAACGCCACUCAGGGAAGUUUUAUUCAUGCAAGGUGCUCUGCUCCGAGUCUCGUCGGGCGGAAGGAGCUAGGUCAAGAUGCUUGUCUUGUCGGGAUCCUGAAGGACAACGUUGAAAGCUUUACUUCCGCCCAGCUUCUGGUGUCAGCCUCUUCACCCUUGAGUCAACAGCCGCCUGGCUUCACAUUCUUUCAUCAGUCUUUGGGAUGCGAGCUCAGAUGCUAGCCGAGGCCUCAGGUCAUGAAGGAUCCAGCGGACGACGGAGGUGCGGUUCCUUCAGGUGAGAGGUGGGGACACCUGCGCAGGUUGCCGGUCCAGAGUGUGGAGCUUGCUCACACUCGUGUGCCAACACCCAUAGGAGAGAAGUGUCACGUUGGGACAUGAAACAGCAAGAGUGCUCCAGGUGAAGUUGCGAUCGAGAGUGUGUAUAU